UUUUCCAUUUCCCCACCCUUUAUCUUUUCAUUUCCGUCUCUCUCUCUCUUUUUCAUUUCCCCACGCCUUCCAUUUUUUUUUCUUCUUUCCCUUUUUUCUUACCCUUUCUUCAUACAGUCACAGAGAGGGAAAUGGCCAGAAGAGGGAGACCGAGAGAGCUGGAGAGAGAGAUUCUGAGAUAGAUCUGGCGAAUGACAACGAAGCUGGAGUCCGAAGGGUCACGGCCAGAGAUGGAGGACAUUCGGCCGACUCACACUCGUCGGCCGGUUAUUGAGAGGGAGAUGGAAGAGGGAGAUCGAUCGGAGAUAGAUCUGUGGUCAACGACGGAGAUGGAGUCCGGAGGAUCACAGUCGGAGUGGUAGAGAUCCAGAUCGACCGAUUCUCAGAGAUGGAGGAGAUCCGGCUGACUCACGCUCGCCGGCCGGAUUUUGAAUAUGAUUUUGGGUUUUUCUUGUUUUGGUUAGAUGAUUCCGGCGAGUGGUUGAGUGGGCGACUAGUGUAAUGGCUGGCGAAUUGGUUUUUUUUAUUUUUUUUUUUAUUUUUUUUUUCUGGUUUUAUUUCCGGCGACUAGAUUGUUGUUGUUUUGGUGUAUUGAAUUUUUUCCCAUUUUGGGUUUUUGUAUUUUUGGUUUGAUGGGUUCGAAUC